ACCUGGUUAUAUCCUGAGACAUUACCUGGUUAUAACCUAGUUAUAUCCUGAGCCAUUACCUGGUUAUAACCUGGUUAUAACCUGCUUAUGUCCUGAGACAUUAC
rnacentral:miRNA from 1 species